rnacentral:rRNA from 1 species
UAAAAGGCGGCGUAAGCUGUCGCUAUGGGAUGGCCCCGCGGUGCAUUAGCUAGUUGGUAAGGUAAAGGCUUACCAAGGCGAUGAUGCAUAGCCGAGUUGAGAGACUGAUCGGCCACAUUGGGACUGAGACACGGCCCAAACUCCUACGGGAGGCAGCAGUAGGGAAUCUUCCACAAUGGACGCAAGUCUGAUGGAGCAACGCCGCGUGAGUGAAGAAGGUUUUCGGAUCGUAAAGCUCUGUUGUUGGUGAAGAAGGAUAGAGGUAGUAACUGGCCUUUAUUUGACGGUAAUCAACCAGAAAGUCACGGCUAACUACGUGCCAGCAGCCGCGGUAAUACGUAGGUGGCAAGCGUUGUCCGGAUUUAUUGGGCGUAAAGCGAGCGCAGGCGGAAGAAUAAGUCUGAUGUGAAAGCCCUCGGCUUAACCGAGGAACUGCAUCGGAAACUGUUUUUCUUGAGUGCAGAAGAGGAGAGUGGAACUCCAUGUGUAGCGGUGGAAUGCGUAGAUAUAUGGAAGAACACCAGUGGCGAAGGCGGCUCUCUGGUCUGCAACUGACGCUGAGGCUCGAAAGCAUGGGUAGCGAACAGGAUUAGAUACCCUGGUAGUCCAUGCCGUAAACGAUGAGUGCUAAGUGUUGGGAGGUUUCCGCCUCUCAGUGCUGCAGCUAACGCA